UACGUAGGGGGCUAGCGUUGUCCGGAUUUAUUGGGCGUAAAGAGCGUGUAGGCGGUCUGUCGCGUCUGCUGUGAAAACUCAGGGCUUAACCCUGAGCUUGCAGUGGGUACGGGCAGACUAGAGUGCGGUAGGGGAGACUGGAAUUCCUGGUGUAGCGGUGAAAUGCGCAGAUAUCAGGAAGAACACCAAUGGCGGAAGGCAGCUCUCUGGGACGGUACUGGACGGCUGAGACGCGAAAGCGUGGGGAGCGAACAGG
rnacentral:rRNA from 1 species